rnacentral:lncRNA from 1 species
CUCGUGAUGUUAGGCAUGUUUUACACACGCGAAAUUGAUUGAGUGGGUGAUAGAUCUCCCGGACGAUCCAUGGAAGAAGUCUCGAGAAAACUAGAGCAACAAAGGGUGGGUAAAUCAAAUUAGCAGCAGGCUAAUGAUGAUGCACGCGCGCGCACACACAUGCACAAUCUUUAGGCAGACGGUGCUGCAGAAAGCAAUAAUACUCAAAGUACCGGAAGCCAAAGAUGCUAAUCUGGAAGUACAUUAGAGUCUUAAUAAAAUGCCUGAAGGAGGAUAUUUCUUCUCUGUCAGAACAACAUAGUUUGGGAAAGCAAUCAAGUGAUUCUUCUCACACAUGCCCUUGCUAUUUAAGAUGGUGAGGCAGUCACAGCGAUUGAAUUCUAGGGAAAAGCCAAGAUUAUCGACAAAAGUCAAGUGAUUGCAUUAUCAUAACCUGAAGGCCAGGAUAAUUGGCGGUCACAGUGCCAUAUGGUAUGUCAGUUUAUGUCUGAUCUUAUUGUUAGUACUGGAAUACACCGACAAACAGCAGCUAGUUCUGACCCCCUCCCCUUUUUGUAUGGAAAGCUGUAGAAAGGUUAUUGGCUUACUACAUAGGAACUGUAUUUGUUGACCAGAUGUUUUUGUCGGUAUGGUUCACUCAGCUCCCGCCUCGCAUCCUUUUUCUUUUCAGUUCUUAAGAUAUUUUUGCUAGUGUUUUGACUAUAACAGAACCAUGAUGCACUUGCAGCAUAACAGUGUCACUGGAACAAGAUCCGGCAUCGACGUACAAUACUUUGCCGAUGUGGAACUCUGGAGAAUUGGCCGGGUCUUUCUGUUUUUCAGGAGUAAGUUUAUGCUGGUUUGCAAGACAUUCGACACAACCUGGUAGCCAGUGCAGGGUCUACAGUCUCCAUAAUUGACAUGGAAAACAAUGUCUGCGGUAAUAAUCAGUUCUAGUCAUCCAUGUUUCUCACCCGGGCCAUAGAAUCAGAAACCCGUUAUUUUUCACCUGUAUGGUCGAUCUAUGGAAAUCACACAACCAGUUACUGUCACCAGGCAUGUCGGCGAAAGCCCAGACUUCUUGCAAGGACUUGCACUGUUUAACUACUUGGUCAUAAGUGAUGCACAUAAUUGAUCGUGCUGAAUAUGAUAAAUUUUUUUGACGGAUGAGGAUGAUAAUGUGAUUGAUGUUAAUUAUACUUAGGAACUGUCUUAUUGCAUGCUGAUGUGUCAAUCCGAGAAUGUUUUUUUUUCUUGUGAAAUAACACCAGACUUAUUUGCAUAGCUAUAGAUUCUUUUUUGUGAAC